ACUAAACCAGGUCUAAAUCAGGACUAAACCAGGACUAAACCAGGUCUAAACCAGGUCUAAACCAGGUCUAAACCAGGUCUAAACCAGGACUAAACCAGGACUAAACCAGGACUAAACCAGUAUUAAACCAGGACUAAACCAGGACUAAACCAGGUCUAAACCAGGUCUAAACCAGGUCUAAACCAGGUCUAAACCAGGACUAAACCAGGACUAAACCAGGACUAAACCAGGAUUAAACCAGGUCUAAACCAGGACUAAACCAGGUCUAAACCAGGACUAAACCAGGUCUAAACCAGGACUAAACCAGGUCUAAACCAGGACUAAACCAGGUCUAAACCAGGUCUAAACCAGGACUAAACCAGGACUAAACCAGGUCUAAACCAGGACUAAACCAGGACUAAACCAGGUCUAAACCAGGACUAAACCAGGACUAAACCAGGUCUAAACCAGGACUAAACCAGGACUAAACCAGAACUAAACCAGGACUAAACCAGGACUAAACAAGG
ensembl:lncRNA